GUGGGUGGAAGCUCAUUGUAGAGGUCACAUGCUGAGUGCUCGUCACUCCACCAAUCACCUCGGGGAAGUCUGAGACAAGAGCCAGGGUUACCCUCGACCAGGGUAUCACCUGAAUGCGGUGAGUGAGUGAACAGAAAGUAAUGGUGUCAAUGUGAGCAGUCAAGCAGGCGAAACCUGGUGGUGCUGAAAACUCUACUGUGGAUGUGACUCUCCUGACUCGGAAUAGCUCCACGGCUGGCGAUGAGUGCGAUGUAAUGAGGUGGGGCACAGCUCCAGAACCCAAUUCAGACUACUCUCCCCCCAC
rnacentral:RNase_P_RNA from 1 species